rnacentral:rRNA from 1 species
UACGGGGGGGGGCAAGCGUUGUUCGGACUUCCUGGGCGGAAAGGGCUCGUAGGCGGCCAACUAAGUCAGACGUGAAAUCCCUCGGCUUAACCGGGGAACUGCGUCUGAUACUGGAUGGCUUGAGGUUGGGAGAGGGAUGCGGAAUUCCCGGUGUAGUGGUGGAAUGCGUAGAUAUCGGGAGGAACACCAGUGGCGAAGGCGGUUGCCUGGAGCUUUGCUGACGCUGAUGCGCGAAAGCGUGGGGAGCGAUCCGG